rnacentral:rRNA from 1 species
AGAGUUUGAUUAUGGCUCAGAUUGAACGCUGGCGGCAGGCCUAACACAUGCAAGUCGAACGGUAACAGGAAGCAGCUUGCUGCUUUGCUGACGAGUGGCGGACGGGUGAGUAAUGUCUGGGAAACUGCCUGAUGGAGGGGGAUAACUACUGGAAACGGUAGCUAAUACCGCAUAACGUCGCAAGACCAAAGAGGGGGACCUUCGGGCCUCUUGCCAUCGGAUGUGCCCAGAUGGGAUUAGCUAGUAGGUGGGGUAACGGCUCACCUAGGCAACGAUCCCUAGCUGGUCUGAGAGGUUUAUCCCCCACACUGGAACUGAGACACGGUCCAGACUCCUACGGGAGGCAGCAGUGGGGAAUAUUGCACAAUGGGCGCAAGCCUGAUGCAGCCAUGCCGCGUGUAUGAAGAAGGCCUUCGGGUUGUAAAGUACUUUCAGCGGGGAGGAAGGCGAUAAGGUUAAUAACCUUGUCGAUUGACGUUACCCGCAGAAGAAGCACCAGCUAACUCCGUGCCAGCAGCCGCGGUAAUACGGAGGGUGCAAGCGUUAAUCGGAAUUACUGGGCGUAAAGCGCACGCAGGCGGUCUGUCAAGUCGGAUGUGAAAUCCCCGGGCUCAACCUGGGAACUGCAUUCGAAACUGGCAGGCUAGAGUCUUGUAGAGGGGGGUAGAAUUCCAGGUGUAGCGGUGAAAUGCGUAGAGAUCUGGAGGAAUACCGGUGGCGAAGGCGGCCCCCUGGACAAAGACUGACGCUCAGGUGCGAAAGCGUGGGGAGCAAACAGGAUUAGAUACCCUAGUAGUC